GGAAAAAGAGGAGUGGCGAACGGGUGAGUAACACGUGGGUAACCUGCCCAUCAGAAGGGGAUAACACUUGGAAACAGGUGCUAAUACCGUAUAACAAUCAAAACCGCAUGGUUUUGAUUUGAAAGGCGCUUUCGGGUGUCGCUGAUGGAUGGACCCGCGGUGCAUUAGCUAGUUGGUGAGGUAACGGCUCACCAAGGCCACGAUGCAUAGCCGACCUGAGAGGGUGAUCGGCCACAUUGGGACUGAGACACGGCCCAAACUCCUACGGGAGGCAGCAGUAGGGAAUCUUCGGCAAUGGACGAAAGUCUGACCGAGCAACGCCGCGUGAGUGAAGAAGGUUUUCGGAUCGUAAAACUCUGUUGUUAGAGAAGAACAAGGAUGAGAGUAACUGUUCAUCCCUUGACGGUAUCUAACCAGAAAGCCACGGCUAACUACGUGCCAGCAGCCGCGGUAAUACGUAGGUGGCAAGCGUUGUCCGGAUUUAUUGGGCGUAAAGCGAGCGCAGGCGGUUUCUUAAGUCUGAUGUGAAAGCCCCCGGCUCAACCGGGGAGGGUCAUUGGAAACUGGGAGACUUGAGUGCAGAAGAGGAGAGUGGAAUUCCAUGUGUAGCGGUGAAAUGCGUAGAUAUAUGGAGGAACACCAGUGGCGAAGGCGGCUCUCUGGUCUGUAACUGACGCUGAGGCUCGAAAGCGUGGGGAGCAAACAGGAUUAGAUACCCUGGUAGUCCACGCCGUAAACGAUGAGUGCUAAGUGUUGGAGGGUUUCCGCCCUUCAGUGCUGCAGCUAACGCAUUAAGCACUCC
rnacentral:rRNA from 1 species